UACAGAGGUCCCAAGCGUUGUUCGGAUUCACUGGGCGUAAAGGGUGCGUAGGUGGUGAGGUAAGUCGGAUGUGAAAGCUCGGAGCUCAACUCCGAAAUGGCAUUGGAAACUACCUUGCUCGAGGGUUGGAGGGGGGACUGGAAUGCUUGGUGUAGCAGUGAAAUGCGUAGAUAUCAAGCGGAACACCAGUGGCGAAGGCGAGUCCCUGGACAACUCCUGACACUGAGGCACGAAAGCUAGGGAGCAAACAGG
rnacentral:rRNA from 1 species